AAUCAACGCUGGCGGCGUGCCUCAGACAUGCAAGUCGAACGCGAAAGUCCCCCUCGGGGGACAAGUAGAGUGGCGCACGGGUGAGUAACACGUAGGUAAUCUACCUUCGGGUGGGGAAUAACAAUCGGAAACGGUUGCUAAUACCGCAUAAUGCAGCGGCACCUAAUGGUGACAGUUGUUAAAGCGGGGGAUCGCAAGAUCUCGCGCCUGAAGAGGAGCCUGCGGCGGAUUAGCUAGUUGGUAGGGUAAUGGCCUACCAAGGCGACGAUCCGUAGCCGGCCUGAGAGGGCGGUCGGCCACACUGACACUGACAUACGGGUCAGACUCCUACGGGAGGCAGCAGUCGGG
rnacentral:rRNA from 1 species